rnacentral:rRNA from 1 species
AAAGUCACGCCUGCCCAGUGAUAAUAUUUUUAACGGCCGCGGUAUCCUAACCGUGCAAAGGUAGCGUAAUCACUUGUUCUCUAAAUAAGGACUAGUAUGAACGGCAACAUGAGGACCACCUUGUCUCUCACGCUAAGUCAAUGAAACUGAUCUUCCGGUCCAAAAGCCGGAAUAUACCUACAAGACGAGAAGACCCUGUGGAGCUUCAAAUUGCACCUCACCAAAAUUUGAGCCUGCAAUUUUUGGUUGGGGCGACCUUGGAGCAAAACAAAACCUCCAAAAUACCAAACUAUCAGGCCGUCACGCCACAUAGACCACUAAACCUUCCGACCCAAUAUAAUUGACUAAUGAACCAAGUUACCCCAGGGAUAACAGCGCAAUCUUCUUUUAGAGUCCCUAUCGACAAGAAGGUUUACGACCUCGAUGUUGGAUCCGGAUACCCCAAUGGUGCAGCCGCUAUUAAAGGUUCGUUUGUUCAACGAUUAAUAAUCCUACGUGAUCUGA